UUGAACGCUGGCGGCAGGCCUAACACAUGCAAGUCGAGCGGAUGAAGGGAGCUUGCUCCUGGAUUCAGCGGCGGACGGGUGAGUAAUGCCUAGGAAUCUGCCUGGUAGUGGGGGAUAACGUCCGGAAACGGGCGCUAAUACCGCAUACGUCCUGAGGGAGAAAGUGGGGGAUCUUCGGACCUCACGCUAUCAGAUGAGCCUAGGUCGGAUUAGCUAGUUGGUGGGGUAAAGGCCUACCAAGGCGACGAUCCGUAACUGGUCUGAGAGGAUGAUCAGUCACACUGGAACUGAGACACGGUCCAGACUCCUACGGGAGGCAACAGUGGGGAAUAUUGGACAAUGGGCGAAAGCCUGAUCCAGCCAUGCCGCGUGUGUGAAGAAGGUCUUCGGAUUGUAAAGCACUUUAAGUUGGGAGGAAGGGCAGUAAGUUAAUACCUUGCUGUUUUGACGUUACCAACAGAAUAAGCACCGGCUAACUUCGUG
rnacentral:rRNA from 1 species